CACGUAGGGCGCAAGCGUUGUCCGGAAUUAUUGGGCGUAAAGAGCGCGUAGGCGGCCUGUCGCGUCGGAUGUGAAAGCCCGGGGCUUAACCCCGGGUCUGCAUUCGAUACGGGCAGGCUAGAGUGUGGUAGGGGAGAUCGGAAUUCCUGGUGUAGCGGUGAAAUGCGCAGAUAUCAGGAGGAACACCGGUGGCGAAGGCGGAUCUCUGGGCCAUUACUGACGCUGAGGAGCGAAAGCGUGGGGAGCGAACAGG
rnacentral:rRNA from 1 species